UACGUAGGGUGCAAGCGUUAAUCGGAAUUACUGGGCGUAAAGCGUGCGCAGGCGGUUCUGCAAGACAGAGGUGAAAUCCCCGGGCUCAACCUGGGAACUGCCUUUGUGACUGCAUAGCUAGAGUACGGUAGAGGGGGAUGGAAUUCCGCGUGUAGCAGUGAAAUGCGUAGAUAUGCGGAGGAACACCGAUGGCGAAGGCAAUCCCCUGGACCUGUACUGACGCUCAUGCACGAAAGCGUGGGGAGCAAACAGG
rnacentral:rRNA from 1 species